rnacentral:rRNA from 1 species
UCCGUAGGGUGCGAGCGUUAAUCGGAAUUACUGGGCGUAAAGCGUGCGCAGGCGGUUUUGUAAGCCCGAUGUGAAAUCCCCGGGCUUAACCUGGGAAUGGCAUUUGGGACUGCAAGGCUUGAGUGCGGCAGAGGAGACUGGAAUUCCUGGUGUAGCAGUGAAAUGCGUAGAUAUCAGGAGGAAUACCGAUGGCGAAGGCAGGUCUCUGGGCUGACACUGACGCUCAUGCACGAAAGCGUGGGGAGCAAACAGG